GCGCCUGUAGCUCAACGGUUAGAGCGGGCCGCUCAUAACGGCUUGGUUGCGGGUUCGAUUCCUGCCAGGCGCA
rnacentral:tRNA from 2 species